CCUACGGGAGGCAGCAGUGAGGAAUAUUGGUCAAUGGGCGCUAGCCUGAACCAGCCAAGUAGCGUGAAGGAUGACUGCCCUAUGGGUUGUAAACUUCUUUUAGAUGGGAAUAAAGUGCAGGAUGUAUACUGCUUGGCAUGUACCUUAUGAAUAAGGAUCGGCUAACUCCGUGCCAGCAGCCGCGGUAAUACGGAGGAUGCGAGAGUUAUCCGGAUUUAUUGGGUUUAAAGGGUGCGUAGGCGGAUCGUUAAGUCAGUGGUCAAAUUGAGGGGCUCAACCCCUUCCCGCCAUUGAAACUGGCGUUCUUGAGUGGAAGAGAAGUAUGCGGAAUGCGUGGUGUAGCGGUGAAAUGCAUAGAUAUCACGCAGAACCCCGACUGCGAAGGCAGCAUGCCGGCUUCCGACUGACGCUGAAGCACGAAAGCGUGGGGAUCGAACAGGAUUAGAUACCCCAGUAGUC
rnacentral:rRNA from 1 species